AAUGAAGGGUUUGACAAGGGGUACCUUUUUUAAUUUUAUUAAUGAAAUUUAAUUAUUAGUGAAAAUGCUAAUGUAUAUUAGGGGGACAAGAAGACCCUAUAGAGCUUUAUAUGAGCUUAUUUUUAUAUUAGUACUAAUAUUUUAAGCUAUAUUUUGUUGGGGCGACAAUAAAUUGAAUCAUUUAUUAUAAAAUCUAUUAUCACAGGCGAUACGAUCCAUUUUUUAUGAUUAUUAGACUAAGUUACCUUAGGGAUAACAGCGUAAUUUUAUCUUAGAGUUCUUAUCGAUGAUUAAGUUUGCGACCUCGAUGUUGGAUUAAGUUUUUCUUAAGGCGCAGUAGUUUUAGGGAAUAGUCUGUUCGACUAUUAAAUACUUACAUGAUCUGAGUUCAAACCGGAG
rnacentral:rRNA from 1 species